GCUCCUGUAGUUUAAUGGAUAAAACAAGAACCUCCUAAGUUCUAGAUCCAGGUUCGAUUCCCGGCGGGAGCA
rnacentral:tRNA from 2 species